UGCUCUGGCAUCCUAGCUGGCACUCACAUUCAGAGGACUUGGUUUGGUCCAAUGCUGGUUCCCCAGCUUUACGACUGGGGUCCGUGUGCUCUCGCUAGGUCAGAUCAGCUGGUGCUGUUGGUUUCUCCAGCACUGUCCUGGCUCCUUUGCUCAUCCCUCCUCCUUCUCCGCAACUGGAGUCCAGGAAUAUGGUUCAAUGUUUAGCUGUGGGUGCCUGUUUCUGCUUCGAUCAGCUACUGGAUAAGUGCUUGGGAUAGUAAACUGAAAUGAAAUUCCCCAUCUUCUGUGAAGCAGUCGUUUGCAGGAACAAAUGGAUGAGUGGGUGUGUACCUGUACCUAGAGCUGGGUGCAGUGUCCUGAAGGCAUGCAGGAGAAGUUUAUGUUGAGGAAGUUUUCACAGGAGACAGCAUGGAGCUGAGAUUGGAAGGAACUCAAAAGGCAUUCUGGGUAAGCAAAAUGGAGGAGGAAGUUAGAGGAAGAGAAUGUGCAAGGAAAUCAAGACAUAUUUGGGGACUCUCAAGUAGUUCAGUUUUUAUCUUUAAAUGUAUUUAUUGAUAUUUUCUGUAUGUGGGAGCAUGUGUGUCUGUCUAUCUGUCUGUGUCUGUGUGUGGGAUUGCAUGUGCCAUACCGUAUGUGUGGAGGUCAAAGGGCAGCUUUGUGGAGUUGGUUUUCUCCUUUCACUUUUAUAUGGGCUCAGGGAAUUGAACCCAGGCUGCCAGGCUUGUACAGCAAGUGCCUUUCCUGCCUAAGCUGCCCCCUUGGCCUGUACUUCAGUUUUAUUGGUGUUCAAAUUACAAACCUAGGAGUAUCGGCAGAAAUAAAUAAAUAAAUAAAUAAAUAAAUAAUCAUAUAAUAAGGGAACAAAGAAAGUGAAAAGAUAAUAGGAAAAUGGUGAAGUUUUAGACCAGUGGUUAAGGAAGUAAAGAGGACUAUUUUAUGAGGCAGUGGGUGAUGGGAUGGCAGAUCAUUGCAAGUGUGUUUAGGGUGACAUUCCAGAGACUCACAAUUUCUUAUUUUCUUGGGUAUUAUUCUCUGCAUGAAAUGGUGAGAGGAAGCUAACUUAAUGUUUGCUUGACCUUUACAUGCAGAGGCAGAUGUAUUAAAGGGACAAGAGAGCAUGGACACUGGCAAAAGAGUGUGGACAGUGUCUGACGCUGUGUUAUCUAAUUUCUAUUAGAGUGUGAGGUAAAGUGGGAUGGAUUGAUAUUGAAGAAUGGGGCAAUAGAGCUGAAGAUUGUGUUACUAGAAGCCUCCAAGUGAGACAGCUGUAAGGGUUAGUGAUGGCCAGAGAACACUAUAUUGAAUUUUGAGAAUUCAGGGGAGUUGUUUUUAACAGAGGCUAUUGGAAUCUUAUUCCUUUACGUUCACAAAGAGGAGCCAGUGAUAGGAAUUCAAAGACAAAAAUGAUCAAAGCUCAUUGUAGAGUUCAGUAAGGUUACUAGAAUCAGUAUAAAAAUAUGGUAGAUAAUUGAGGACAGUCGAUGGCCUGGUGGGAAAAGGCACCUGUUACCACGCCUGACUGAAUGGAUCCUCUUGGCUCAUGUGGUAGGAGAGAAGCAACUCCUGCAAGUUGUCCUCUGACUUCAAUAUAGUCACUGCAUUUGCUCAUGUGUGUGUGCAUGCACACAUGUAAGUAAAUGUAAAAAAUCAAAGCAGAUACAUUGAAUUAUCUAAUUUUCUAAUGAGUCAUCAUUUAUAAUGGCAACAAAAUCCUAAGAAUGUGAACAACCUACCCAAGGAUAUGCAAGCCUUUUGUGGAGAGAGUAUUUUACUAUCUUUGCUAGGAGAGAAUAUUUUAAGUAUAUCUUUGCUAGGUGCAUUUAUCAGAUGCUUUUCUCAUUUUUUCCUUUGUUUCAAGAACAUCUCUUCCACUCCAUGAGAAAUACAUUUCUAGACUAAGCCAGACCUUCAGCAAACUGCAUACUUACUUACAUAAAACUAUGUCUCUGAAGAAGUGAUGUGGUAAAGUUGCUCUCAAAUGUUUUGCCUCUUUUUUAAGACUUUAUAAGUACAUGCUUUAUAGAAAGUUUGUUUAUGUAUUUAAAAGUAAAAGUUAAACAACCAAAAAGCUGACUGGAAAAGUUUAUUCUUUUUUAAAUAUAUUCUUCCUUUAAGACAAAGUCUCCUUUAGCCCAGGCUGGCCUCAUACUUACUGUGUAGCAGAGAAUGACCUUGAGCUUCUUACCGUCCUGCUUCUACACGCCCCUCCAUGCCUAGCACAGCUGUGAGGUGGGACUCAUCGUGGCCCUCUGUUACCCGAUAGAGAAAAUGAGGCUAAGUGACUUGCUGGGGAGCGGCAGAGCCAUCAUCCAAAUCCAGGCGGUUUGACUCCGGAUUCUGUGCCGGCUAUGUGACAACUAGAGAGAAGAUGAGACAAAGGCGGGGGAAUUUUAUGCAUGUGUAAAUUUGGCGUAGGUCCCAGUUACGCCUCAAAACAGGGAGAGAGGUGAGUGUCCUGAGAGUGAAGCAGGGUGUUUUGAAUAGGCCGUUUUUACUUCCAGCAUGCUGUUCCCAUGGAUACUCAGUCUUAGUGCGCCUCUUAUAAUUUCUCCUUAUUUUGGGGGCAUUCCUCAGUCUUGAGGAAUUUGAGGAGCUCUGCCAUCUGGCUAUCUGUCUGUUCCUGAUUAAUGUGUGGAUCCUAUCACCAGCACUGGAAGCAUGAAAGUAAAAACAGUAACUUUAUGCUUUUGACUGAAAGAGACACUCUCCGUGGAAUGUAAAUUCCUGGGACCCUGUUUGAUGGCACCCCUAGUGAAGGAUUGGGAACAUGCUAAUAACUGCCCUUCUAGGACCAUUUAGUCACUACUUUUGGUAGGUAGGCCAUCUUGAUAAUCUUCCUGUCUCCGAAUGAACUGGUGUGUGUGUGCGCGCGCGCGCGUGCGCGCGCAUUGCAUGUGAGUGUGAGUACACAUGCCGUGUUGGAGCAUGCAGAGGCCAGAGCAGGCUGUUAGUGAAAUUAAAUUUUAAGAAAAUUAAAACUUAUGAAGCAUCUAUCUGCCUGUUUUUUAGAUUAUUUUUAGUAAAGUUCAACUUAUAACUCAGAUUAAAUGAGAUCCUAUUUUUAGAAUAUAAGAUUUCAUUGAGCCAACUUUCAUAAAAAUAUUAUGGUCCUGGUGAUCCUAAAUAGUAUUAUGUUGCCUUACCAUAUUCUACAAAUAAGUAAAUCUGGUUCCUGAGUUACUGAGCUCUUUGUGUACACAGUUAUAAUAAUUUUGUAAUUGCCACUCAUCUGUCACUCUCUGCCUUAUUGCCUUGACACAAGGUCCCACUGAACCAGAAGCUUACCCUUUCAGUGAGGCUGGCUGGCCAGUGAGCUCUUGCGAUCUGCCUGUCUCCUGUUGAUGUGGGGGUUGCAGGUGUUCACAGCCAUGCUUGCCCUCUGUGCGAUGCUGGGCAUUGACACUCUGGUCUUCACGUUUGCUGAGCAAGUUUUUACUCACGGAACCUUCUCCCUAGCCCUGGGUGAACUUUGUUCUUUACAGUCAUUGAUCAUCAGUUCCUUGUGAGGUUUAGUGUGGUCCCUGUGGGCAGUCUGUUCCUACAUAGGAAGAAAAAGCAGGCAGAAAAAAGAGAGAGA